rnacentral:lncRNA from 1 species
AUGCAUGGAAAUAUCAAUAUCAGGGUUUUCUCUUUUAUUUUCAUUUACUGCCCAAACAAUUAUUCAGUGCUAUCUAUAAAAAGUCAAAAUGAUGGAUGGAUACGGAUAAGACAUUACGUAAUAAUCUUUAAGGUCAAUGUAUUAGCUGCGAAUUUAUUUGAACGAACUUUAAGAUUACGAGACUUAACGAUAAGUUAAAUAUUGCACGAGUGUACUUAAAAUAGUCUUAAGAGAUAUAUGUUGU